rnacentral:lncRNA from 1 species
UAUCUAUAAUACUAAAAUUACGAGGUCCAAUUUGUCAGCCGUCAUAACGUAAUAACGACGAAUCAAAGAAUUCAACUUUAUAUAUAACUAAUAUAGUACAAAGGUGUAGAUUAAAAAUUACACCACUCAAGGCCCUUUUGUUUUCCACGUAAUUAAUAUUGCCAAUAAUUAAGAAGUUCCGAGUCGAGUCCGAUACCGAUACCAAUAGUAUAUUCACCUGUUACAUAUUACUUAUCUGUACGUUCCGCAUCUGACAGGCACACCACCAAACGGUGUAUUCAGGAUUAAUAUGCUAUAUACACGGGUCAUAAUCACAGGAUUGACACUACUAAAUUGUCAAACUGUUACCUACUGUAGUAUUUUAUUCAGUAAGACUUUCUUAGAUAACAAUACGAAUACUAAAAAUCUGGACUAAAAAUAAGGCGUAUAGGUACAGUUUUCAAUUUGUUAGCGGGC